GACGAACGCUGGCGGCGUGCUUAACACAUGCAAGUCGAACGGUAAGGCCCUUCGGGGUACACGAGUGGCGAACGGGUGAGUAACACGUGGGUGAUCUGCCAUGCACUUCGGGAUAAGCCUGGGAAACUGGGUCUCAUACCGGAUAGGAACAAUGCCGGCAUGGGUGGUGGUGGAAAGCUUUUGCGGUGUGGGAUGGGCCCGCGGCCUAUCAGCUUGUUGGUGGGGUGAUGGCCUACCAAGGCGACGACGGGUAGCCGGCCUGAUAGGGUGACCGGCCACACUGGGACUGAGAUACGGCCCAGACUCCUACGGGAGGCAGCAGUGGGGAAUAUUGCACAAUGGGCGCAAGCCUGAUGCAGCGACGCCGCAUGAGGGAUGACGGCCUUCGGGUUGUAAACCUCUUUCAGCACCGACGAAGCGCAAGUGACGGUAGGUGCAGAAGAAGGACCGGCCAACUACGUGCCAGCCGCCGCCGUAA
rnacentral:rRNA from 1 species